rnacentral:rRNA from 1 species
CCUUCUGUGCCGGAGUUAACGCAAUAAGUACCCCGCCUGGGGAGUACGACCGCAAGGUUGAAACUCAAAGGAAUUGACGGGGGCCCGCACAAGCGGUGGAGUAUGUGGUUUAAUUCGACGCAACGCGAAGAACCUUACCAGGUCUUGACAUUGAUGGACAGAACUAGAGAUAGUUCCUCUUCUUCGGAAGCCAGAAAACAGGUGGUGCACGGUUGUCGUCAGCUCGUGUCGUGAGAUGUUGGGUUAAGUCCCGCAACGAGCGCAACCCCUAUCUUAUGUUGCCAGCACUUCGGGUGGGAACUCAUGAGAGACUGCCGCAGACAAUGCGGAGGAAGGCGGGGAUGACGUCAAAUCAUCAUGCCCCUUAUGACCUGGGCUACACACGUACUACAAUGGGAGUUAAUAGACGGAAGCAAUACCGCGAGGUGGAGCAAACCCGAGAAACACUCUCUCAGUUCGGAUCGUAGGCUGCAACUCGCCUACGUGAAGUCGGAAUCGCUAGUAAUCGCAGGUCAGCAUACUGCGGUGAAUACGUUCCCGGGCCUUGUACACACCGCCCGUCACACCACGAAAGUCGGAAGUGCCCAAAGCCGGUGGGGUAACCUUCGGGAGCCAGCCGUCUAAGGUAAAGUCGAUGAUUGGGGUGAAGUCGUAACAAGGUAGCCGUAUCGGAAGGUGCGGCUGGAUCACCUCCUUUCUAGGGAGA